UGGGCGAAGAUAAGAACUCAUAUGGUCUCGAAGAGCAAAGAAGACCUAAAAAUCAUGCUCAAUACAAUUACGAGAGCCCC